UGUCAGCUGGGCUGCGGUGUCGGCAGACCGCAGGACCACGAAUCCCACACCGAGUUGUUCGAGUUCGGGCCGCGGAUCCACUCCGUGGCCGGCAACCA
rnacentral:tRNA from 1 species